GUUGGUAUUGAUGACGCCGGUGAGCCACCUGUUCCCAUUCCGAACACAGAAGUUAAGCCCGGUAGUGCCGAAGAUACUUGUCUGGCGACGGACCGGGAAAAUAGGAAAAUGCCAACU
rnacentral:rRNA from 1 species